AGUAUUUUGACUAUACAAAGGUAUUGUAAUAAGAUUUUAAUUGAAUGCUAAAAGAAUGGAAAUUUAAAAAAAAACUUUUUUAAAAAUAAAAAUUGAAUUUUUUUUAAUUUGUGCAAAAACAAUUAUACUUAUUAAAGACAAGAAGACCCUAAGAAUUUAAGAUUUUACAAUUAAAAAGUUUUUUUUUUUAAAAUCUUGAUUGGGACGAUCAAAAAAUAUUAAUAACUUUUUAAAAUUUAAAUUGAUCUAUUAUUAAUAAACUAAUGAAUUAAAUACUCUAGGGAUAACAGCGUAAUAAUUUUUGAUAGAUCUUAUUGACAAAAUAGUUUGCGACCUCGAUGUUGGAUUAGGAUUCUUUUUUAAUGAAGAAGUAAAAAAAGAAGUUUGUUCAACUUUUAAAUUCCU
rnacentral:rRNA from 1 species